GGGGGCAGAUGUCCUAGUAGCCUUGUCCAUUCUGUGACCCCCUCUCCUGUCAUGGGAGUAUUCACGUGGCAGGUGCACUAAGGGCUUUUAAGUGCCUGACCUGUGCUUGCAAUUUUAAUUGGCCUGGUCCUCAGCUUAAGGGAGAAUGGGGGAAGGAGGAAAGGAGGGCCCUCACCCUUUUGGGUGGCAGUUACUGGGGCAUAGUGGACUUUGGGGCCUUUGGAACAUGCCAGAGAGUACCCCUGGCCAGAGUUCCUCAAUUGCUUCCACAGACACUGGCCUGUUCACAAGCGGUUUGAAGAAAAAGAAAUGAGAGAAGAAAGGAGAGUAGGGGAAAACCCCCCUGAGAAUCCCCAUAUGGGCCACUCAAUGUUGUGAUCUGUGCCUGGGUUGGAAAAGAAUUUCCAAAUACAGAGUAUUUUAGAAAGGAAUGAGUUCAUUACGAAAAAGAGCAGAGAAAAUGAGGGUGCUGCAAGCACACGGGGUGACCUCCUGACAGACCAGGGAAAGGUAACGCUUUUCGUGGGUUAGUAGCCAAUUGUUAUAGUCUCAAGACACGGAAAAUUCCUGCCAGAAGGGUGGCAUUAGAUAAUUGCUUAGGAUGGGUACUUUUGUCUAUUCUGGGGUUAGGGAGCUGGCCGGUUUACAUCAGGGGAGCUCUCGCAAAGCUUGCUAUGUGGCUCGGUCACGUCCCGAUGCCCAUGGCGCAGGGCUCCACGCCUGUGGAACCUAUCGCGUUCCACAUAGAGCAGUAAUCAACACAGCAUGAAAAAGUUAUCCUUCAAUAAAAAGAAAAAAAGGAGAAAAAUUUGGACAAAUGAAAAUGUCACAGGGUGGCUAUCUUGUUGAUUCUCUACUGCUACAUCCAUCCUCUUCCCUUAGGUAGUUACCCUCAUCUGAGCUUUAUAUUUAUAGAAACGGAUUUGCCCCGAGGACUGAGACAUUUAAAUACCAUGAAUAUAACAUAUAUCACUUAUGAGACCCGCUUCUAAGAAUCUCUUAUGAAGCAAUUGCUUCCUGUCUCGUUUUGUAUAAAUUUUGUAUCUGUACAUACAAAAGGCACUCAGUUACACCUGUAGUUUAUAAACAGGUUGUGCUUAGGCAAUUCCUAUGAUUUUAGUAUGAGAUGCUAUGACAUUAAUACCUGGGGACCACCAGUAGUGAUAGAGCAGUGAUCAAUGGCUCCUUGUGUAUUGGUUUUAAAUUAAAGAUAGCAUAUGCCAAAGUCAUUAUACUUUGAAUACUUCUGUUUUAGCACAACCCAAGAGAACAAUGAGAAUGAUAGGCACAGCAUGUAUUAAGUGCAUAACAUGUUCCAGGCCCCUCUUAGGUCCCUUCUUUGGACCAUCACAAAACUCCAGAAAGGUACAUUUCAUCUUUCAGUGUAAAAUGUCAUAUAUAACCUUGAUCCCUUAAAGCCUAUGACUUUGAGCAAGAUCAUACUUAGCAGAGUGUUGAACUGCUGUUGAUAUUCACAUGCCUGUAACAUGGAAUUUUUUAUCUUCCUACAGCAUCAGUUAAGGUAUCUUUUAUGCUAUCUUCAAGUUAGGUUUAUUUAACGCUAGCAAAAACAUGAACUGGUAACAAAAACCUAGUACAUAAUCAACUAAGCAAAAUGCUAAUAAACUACUAAACACGUGCAUACCAGUUCUAACAAGAUGUGCUACAGGCACAUCCAUGAAACAUUAGUAACCACAACAUAAAUAAGUAGAGGUCCUCUUGUUGGUUGGACUCUAACAGUUCCCAUUAUCAUUGAGAGGAGUAGUAAGACUAAGACCAGAUAUAAAAUAUUAAAUGCAUUUAACCACACAGACUCCUUUUAAAUUGCCAAGUCAUUUUAGUUGAAGAUAACAAUUUGGGAAUUAGCAGUAUGAUUAUUGAUCAUUUCUCCCAGUAAGUGCCAAUGUGAUUUUCUCCAUUUUGUGAACUCCAGUUUUAUUUACUUGGAUUCAAGGGAUUAAUUCUCAACACUUUAAUCUUCCUCUUCAAGGAUAUCUUUUACAUAGUAAAUGGCACCUAUAAAUGCUGCAAAGAAAAGAAGGCAAAGGCGAAGAAGCAUCACAGCUAAUGCUCUGUUUAGACUCAGCCUUAGACUGGCUCGAAUGCCUAGUUCUCUGUCAGGUGGAGGGCCACUAUCUACGCUGCCACCUGGUCCUCUCUCAGUACAGUUUGGUGGUUUCCAACCUUGCUGACAGUGACAAUGUUUCCGGUUGUUGCACACCCCUCUGUAAUUGCAUUUCCUGACAUCGCAGUCAAAACCCAGGUCUUGAAAAAAAGUACAGUUUUGGUCCUUACAGUAUGCUCCUGGGCCACAUGUUGCACCAUCCACUACAAGCCCCAUUUCUGGCACAUCUGUCCCGAAGUGGGCAUCAUACCCAAAGCAGGUUUGCGGUGUAACAUCAUGUACUAUUAUUUGAUGAAAAGUAGUGUGCUCCCCACCACCAGGAAUUUCCUUCACGUUGCUACAGUGCAGCAUUCCACACCGAACAUCAUCCUGUUCACAUGCAACAGGUCUUCCUCCUCCUUGAGUCAACUUCACACCACAGUUUCCAAAUCGGUCACCCCUGAUAUUCAAUACCUCGUAGCAUGAUGACGCAGCCUCUCUUAUGUCAUAGCCAAAGAGGGCUUGACACUGUAAAUCACGGUCACUACAGUUUCCCCUCAUACAAACAGCUGAAGGUGAGCACGGGGUUCCAUCCUGGAUAUAAGUGUCAUCUGGACAAUCAUGUGUCUUCCCGUUACAGUAUUCUGGUAGAUCACAAAUACCAAGAGUAUCUCUGCAAAUAUAUCCAGGAUAAGCAUAUUUGCAGUUUCUGCAACAACCUCCAUAAUCACAAUCACUGCCAAGGCUGAGGGCACAAUUGGAAUUGCAGCACCGAUCCUGAGUACAGUCUUUUAAGGUGCCACAGUCACAUUCUUCAUUGGGGUCUAUCUUCUUGUCACCACAUCGUCUUGCUAUAUAAGGAAAAUUAUCGUAUGGUACAUAUGGAGCACUCAAACAAACAUCCCACAUAUGUAACCGUCGGUGAAUUCUCUCAAAAGUGCAAUUGCUUAUCAUAUCUAGAAGACCAGGGUUAGAAUUCAUGAGACAGUGUUGUCUCCGAAAACACUGACAACCUGGAACAUCAUGAUGACAACCCAAUACAUGACCUAUCGAAUGUGCUCCAAUAGUUGCAGUUAAAAAUAGGUGGUAUCUUGAAGCAAAUACAUAUGAUGCUCCCCAAUUGGGAUUGCAUACUCCGUCAAAGCUGCUACCAUAGGAGGCCCCAGCAAUUUUAUGUCCUGUUACAAGCAAUGAAGUAUCAUGAGGAAGUUUUUCAUACCAUCCCCAAUAUUUCCAUAAACCAAAGUUAGUUACUGCCUUUAUAACAGUUCUAAAUCUAUCCAAAUUGAACUUAUCUCGGCCAUCCCAUAUGCAUAAAACACGUAUAAAAACCUGAAGUUGACCCUGGUAAUAAAUGCUAUGUAUUAUGUUAUUCAAAAUCACCAUAUUCUCUAUUAUAUGUGUCAUAUUAAUGUCCUGCAUAUAUAAUGAGUGAGAAACUGUGUAGUGAACUUUUAAGGCUUUCUUGUGUGGCCACCACAGAUACACAGGGCCUGCUCUAGGCAUUUCAGAAAUCAUUGCCUCCUCAUACUCUUGAUUUGUAUCUUUCUCUUCAGCCUCACAUUUCUCAUCCUCUGCUGCUGUUUUCUGUGUCACAAGCUGAGAAAUCAGAUGCUCAAAUUUGGAAGAAGCCUCCAAUGGUUUGAUUUCACUGGAAACAAGCAAACAGUGCUGGACAGAUGAAUGGCAGACACACGGGGCUAUUCAUUCAGUGGGAAAAUCGUCAGUAAAUCUGAACGAGUUUCUGCCAUCACGGUUUCAGGAAUCUCCAGCCGGAUUCACCACUUUGGUGGGGGGAGCCUUGGAAACUGCCCUCUGAAGACUCAGGCACUCCAGCAUCCUACGCCUCUGAACCACUUGAAGACCUUAAAUUCCUCUUCAAAAGGACCAAAGAUAAGUAACAAUCGAACUCUUUAAAUAAAUACAUGAUCAACUGCC